GAGCCUGCGACGUUUGGAUGCAAAAAGGAAAAUCUCCCUCUCUGCUCCAGCAUCCUUUGGAGGGGAAAUAAGUGAAGGUCCUGAUUUGUCUCCUGUAAAUGUGGCAAAACCUCAGAGAACUUGUCAAAAGUCCAAGAAAAACAGAACGUUUUCUUGUGCCAACCUCGGGAAGAUCUCUCCUUGGAAAAUCUCCAUGAAGGAUACACUUGAACAAGUGAGGAGUUGGAGGAGACAAAGACAGUAAACAAACAGAUCCGAGGAACCACCCAGUUGAGUCAAGCACAAGGAAAGCCAAC